rnacentral:lncRNA from 13 species
GCCCAGGUCCAGUUCUCUCCAGGAUAUCAGCGAGCACCUCUGAGGAGGAUGUUCUCUGUCCUACUCCACCUCUCCCCCCAGGACCUGAUUCUCAGUAUGAGAGAAUCGGAGGCCAAACAGGGGCUUCGUAAGUAAUGGUUAUGUUACAUGCAAAGAUGUAUUUUUUUAAAUUCCAGAUCUUGGUCGUUACAAAGCACAACUCGAUUGUAUUGUAACUGUCACUUUUUUUUAUUUCCAAAGUAAAAGUCCUUAGCAGCACAGUUUCCAUCCUGAGACCUUCCUCAGGCCCCAUACAAAGAGCUGAUUUUAUAUGAGAGCGUAUGAGAGAGCCUGCAUUCAUAAUUGUUUGGUUCCAUUAUUGUGUUGCGCAAUGUGAUUUGACACGGAUCAUGUUUUAUUUGUUAUGUUGUAGGUUUUUACAGACCCUGAUCCACCUCCUGAAGGGGAACAUCGGUACGGGGCUGCUAGGUCUACCUCUGGCUGUCAGGAACGCAGGCCUUGUGUUAGGACCUCUGAGUCUGUUUGCCAUGGGGAUAAUAGCAGUCCACUGUAUGAACCUGCUUGUAAUCUGUUCCCACCACCUCAGUGUAAAGUUGAACAAGCCCUUUCUGGACUAUGGCGAUGCUGUGCAGUAUGGUAUGGAGAAUGUCUCGUGGCUGAGAAGGCACUCAAUAUGGGGGAGGCGGAUAGUGAACGUGUUUUUGAUCAUCACCCAGCUGGGUUUCUGCUGUGUCUACUUCGUCUUCCUCAGUGACAAUAUCAAACAGGUAGGGGGACAUGGUGUCAUGUUCAUAUGUGGUGAGAAACAGUACUACCUGCCGAAGGUGGGUCAUGCCAAAGACUAUCCUCUCUUCUUUGGAACGGCCAUCUUUGCUUUCGAGGGGAUAGGAGUGGUCCUGCCCCUGGAGAACAAGAUGCAGAAGCCUCAGAGUUUCAAUAUGGUUCUAUAUCUGGGAAUGGGCAUCGUCACCUUCCUCUAUAUCAGCUUGGGGACCAUAGGGUACAUCACCUUUGGAGAGGCCAUAGGGGGAAGUAUCACCCUUAACUUACCCAACUGCUGGAUGUAUCAGAUUGUAAAGCUGCUCUACUGUUUCGGUAUCUACAUCACCUUUGCCCUUCAGUUCUACGUGCCAGCUGAGAUCCUGAUUCCUCCGGUGGUGUCCCGUGUCUCAGAGAGAUGGAAACUGCCGGUAGAUCUUCUGAUCCGCGCUGCGCUCGUUGUUUUUACCUGUGUCCUGGCCAUAUUGAUCCCCCAGCUGGACCUGGUCAUCUCUUUAGUGGGGUCCAUCAGCAGCAGUUUCCUGGCUCUCAUCUUCCCUCCACUCCUCCAGAUCCUCACCUACCACAACGAAGGUCUGUCUCCCUGGGUCAUCGUCAAGAACACCCUGAUCUCUGUCAUCGGCUUCAUCGGCUUCAUCACCGGCACCUAUAUAUCCAUCACAGAGAUCAUCAAACGCAACGGCAGACAUGACAAUCUGGAUGUGACAUUCUUCCAGGUCCAGUGAGAGAUUUAGUGAGGAAGAGGAGGAUAUCUUGACAGUGGUUUGUCUGGCAAACAGUGGAGGCUGGUGGGUGGAGAAAUCUGAGG